rnacentral:ncRNA from 1 species
GGCGACCGACUGUGGGAAGGAAGCCGGAGCGCAAAACUGUGAGCCUACGGACAGAAACAGCAUAUAAGGCCGACGGGGCGGAUAAGGUGGCACAACACGCCAAAGCCCAGGGUUCAGAUUCGGAGGUAAAUACCU